CCUGGUGACAUAGAAUGUUCUGCCGUGGGGCCUCUGCCCUGCCCCCACCCCAUGAGCACCAUGACCUUCCCCAGCCCCUCCCCACUUUAAAUGUACUCUGAGUUUGCUCCCAGCCCCAGUCAAUCAAACCUCUGUCAUCUGCACUUCCUGCCUCUGCCCAGUGGCUGGGGGAGGGGACCAGAGGGAAAGAAACAUUUUGUAUCCUGCUGUAACAUUGUGGGAGCUGGGGGGCCACCAUGAUUCAGGUAGAGGGGGUGCUUUUACAAAAAGCCCUGCCUCAGAAAAUAUCUCCACCCAGCUCAGGAAACACAGCUCCUGGAUGGGGAGUGGCUGGGAGGUGUCUCUGGAGCUGGUCCCUGGGUCCCAGACAGCUUUCCAGGAACGUGAAGGGCCAAUGCAUCAAAAUGGGAUCAUCAUGACCAUUUUUGCAGUGAUUAAAAAAAAAGGGGGGGGAUCAUCAUCCAGCAUUUUUCAUAAAAACUUGCCCUUGACAAAAGUACUUACACAUGCGUUUAUUUAUUAAGAACUCACAACAACACUGUGUAAAACCUACCACCCCACUUUUCAGAUGAAGGAAAUAAGGCCAGAGAGGUUGCAGGUCCUGUAAGUAGUAAGAGACAGGGUCUAGCCUGGAACAACCCCCAACUCCAGCCCAAACCCCCAUCACCAAUCCCCGUUCAUUUUCCACCUCCACUGUAUUGUCCCCAAGCCAGGUUGAUUCUCCUCCGCAAACUGGAGAUGAUCUCCCGUGGCAUGGACAUUACUAUGUCCAGCUAGCCCUGGAGGUGGGAUGAGAGAAGCCCAGGAAGGAGGAGAGUGCACCCCCAGCUUGUGUCAAGGGAAGUAGGAAGGAGGAGAAAUUCUUGGCAGCCCCUGCCCACUGUGCUAUUACGGGGAGCAGCACUUUGGGCCAGGGACCCGGCUCACCGUACUAGGUAAGAAAGCCGCUCCCGGUGGGAAGGAGGGUGGGUUGCCCAGCCUGGACCAUCCCCAGGACCUUGGCCCUCAAGGAGUGGGUGCUGGCCCCUCCCUGGGCCCCUAUCGGGAGGGCGGGUUUGUGCCUGGGUCCCCAGAGCUGUGCAAACACGGGACAGCUGUACUUCGGGGCCGGUUCCAAGCUGACGGUGCUGGAGAGCCCCCUGAGGUGUGUCUACAGCACCCAUUCCUGCCCGUGAGCUGGACUGGAACCCUCAGCCGCUGGGAUGCAUUCGCCCUGCCCCCCGCCCCCCACGUCUCCCUCUGCCCCCCAGCCUGAAAUCUCGGACCUCACACGAAGAAUUCCGGCGUCAACAGCCCAGGUGGUGGAGGAGGUUCAGCUGUUGCAAACGUAUAUUAAAAUGCAGAUAUUUUGUUUGUGAGGUGAGGGAAGUUUCCAGGAGAAUCCUAAGCUCCUAGAUGUGGAAAGGAACCUCAAACAUCACCUGGUGAGGAGAAUGUUGAGGCCAGAGAGGGGAAGAAACUCAUGAUACUGGUACAUUAACCUGGAUUAUUUGAUAACAACAAGCCCCGUUUCUCCUUAGACUGUCAUUAAGCCGGAGCCAAUGGGGCUCAUCUAAACUCUGUCCAGGGCAAAUGCCAGAUUCCUCUGAUCAGCAGGGGUGGGCCCAAGACCAGACUUUAGAGCCAGAUAAACCUGGGCCCCAGUCACUGGCUCGCUGAUGAUCAGAUGACCUUGGGCAAAUGAAUCUGUGUGAAGUUCGGUCCCCUCUGUGGUACAAGGUCAUCAGCAAUACCUACCACUUACCGUUGCUGCGAGGGUGACCAACAGGAGAGCCUACGCGUAGAGUAUGCAGGGAAGGUGGAUUGUUAUAAUUUGGCCCUUCUCUUCUCCACCCUUCCUCUUGGUGGUCAGUGGGGCGUGAGGGGAAAGGGUGAGCC